AACGAACGCUGGCGGCAUGCCUAACACAUGCAAGUCGAACGAGACCUUCGGGUCUAGUGGCGCACGGGUGCGUAACGCGUGGGAACCUGCCCUUAGGUUCGGAAUAACUCCCCGACAGGGGUGCUAAUACCGGAUAAUGUCUUCGGACCAAAGAUUUAUCGCCUUUGGAUGGGCACGCGUUGGAUUAGCUAGUUGGUAGGGUAAAAGCCUACCAAGGCGACGAUCCAUAGCUGGUCUGAGAGGAUGAUCAGCCACACUGGGACUGAGACACGGCCCAGACUCCUACGGGAGGCAGCAGUGGGGAAUAUUGGACAAUGGGCGAAAGCCUGAUCCAGCAAUGCCGCGUGAGUGAUGAAGGCCUUAGGGUUGUAAAGCUCUUUUACCCGGGAUGAUAAUGACAGUACCGGGAGAAUAAGCUCCGGCUAACUCCGUG
rnacentral:rRNA from 1 species